AUUGAACGCUGGCGGAAUGCUUUACACAUGCAAGUCGAACGGCAGCAUAGAGAGCUUGCUCUCUGAUGGCGAGUGGCGAACGGGUGAGUAAUAUAUCGGAACGUACCUAGUAAUGGGGAACAACCAGCCGAAAGGUUGGCUAAUACCGCAUACGACCUACGGGUGAAAGCAGGGGAUCUUCGGACCUUGCGUUAUUAGAGCGGCCGAUAUCUGAUUAGGUAGUUGGUGGGGUAAAGGCCUACCAAGCCGACGAUCAGUAGCUGGUCUGAGAGGACGAUCAGCCACACUGGAACUGAGACACGGUCCAGACUCCUACGGGAGGCAGCAGUGGGGAAUUUUGGACAAUGGGGGCAACCCUGAUCCAGCCAUUCCGCGUGAGUGAAGAAGGCCUUCGGGUUGUAAAGCUCUUUCGCAAGAGAAGAAAUCUUACUAUCGAAUAAAUAGUAAGGAUGACGGUAUCUUGACAAGAAGCACCGGCUAACUACGUG
rnacentral:rRNA from 1 species